rnacentral:lncRNA from 1 species
CCCCAACUCCGAUUUAGACUUCUCUUGCAGGUCCCGACGGCGGACGUGAUCCCCUCGACUCCAGCUUCUCCAGCAUCGGCAGAAUUCUGCACCAAUAAAAUUGGCGCUAGAGGAAGGGCUGUGUCUUUGCAGUACCCUUAUUCUUAAAGGAGUACUCAGCGGGAUUGUCUUCGAUCAUCUUCUUCGACAUUUUCUCCUUCUUCUCCCGCC